rnacentral:rRNA from 1 species
UGGGGAAUAUUGGUCAAUGGGCGAAAGCCUGAACCAGCAAUGCCGCGUGAGUGAUGAAGGCCUUCGGGUUGUAAAGCUCUGUCAGUGGGAACGAAUAAGCCGAUUAAUACCCGGUGAUGACGGUACCCACAAAGGAAGCACCGGCUAACUCUGUGCCAGCAGCCGCGGUAAUACAGAGGGUGCAAGCGUUGUUCGGAAUUACUGGGCGUAAAGCGCGUGUAGGCGGUCUUAUAAGUCGGUUGUGAAAUCCCUAGGCUUAACCUAGGAACUGCAUCCGAAACUGUUAGACUAGAGUAUCGGAGGGGAUGGCGGAAUUCCUGGUGUAGAGGUGAAAUUCGUAGAUAUCAGGAGGAACACCUGUGGCGAAGGCGGCCAUCUGGAAGAUUACUGACGCUGAGACGCGAAAGCGUGGGGAGCAAACAGGAUUAGAUACCCUGGUAGUCCACGCCGUAAACGAUGAGUGCUAGGUGUUGCGGGUAUUGACCCCUGCAGUGCCAAAGCUAACGCGUUAAGCACUCCGCCUGGGGAGUACGGUCGCAAGAUUAA